rnacentral:rRNA from 1 species
CUACGGGCCGCUGCAGUGAGGAAUUUUGCGCAAUGGGGGAAACCCUGACGCAGCAACGCCGCGUGAGCGAAGAAGGCCCUCGGGUCGUAAAGCUCUGUCAAGUGGGAAAAAAAUCUUUUGAUCAAUAGUCAAAAGACUUGAUGGUACCACUGGAGGAAGCACCGGCUAACUCCGUGCCAGCAGCCGCGGUAAUACGGAGGGUGCAAGCGUUGUUCGGAUUUACUGGGCGGAAAGAGCGUGUAGGCGGUUUAGCAAGUCAGAUGUGAAAGCCCUGGGCUCAACCCGGGAAGUGCAUUUGAAACUGCUUCACUAGAGUAUGGGAGAGGGGAUUGGAAUUCCUGGUGUAGAGGUGAAAUUCGUAGAUAUCAGGAGGAACACCCGUGGCGAAGGCGAUUCUCUGGACCAAUACUGACGCUGAGACGCGAAAGCGUGGGGAGCAAACAGGAUUAGAUACCCUAGUAGUC